rnacentral:rRNA from 1 species
UACGUAGGUGGCAAGCGUUGUCCGGAUUUAUUGGGUUUAAAGGGUGCGUAGGCGGUUUCUAAGUCAGCAGUGAAUACGGCAGCUCAACUGUCGAGGUGCUGUUGAUACUGGGGAACUUGAGUACUGAUGAGGUAGGCGGAAUGGACGGUGUAGCGGUGAAAUGCUUAGAGAUCGUCCAGAACACCGAUAGCGAAGGCAGCUUACUAAGGAGUAACUGACGCUGAGGCACGAAAGUGUGGGGAUCAAACAGG